UACGGAGGGUGCAAGCGUUAUCCGGAUUUACUGGGUUUAAAGGGUGCGCAGGCGGAUAUGUAAGUCAGUGGUGAAAUCUCUAGGCUUAACCUGGAAAUUGCCGUUGAUACUAUAUAUCUUGAAUGCUGUGGAGGUAAGCGGAAUAUGUCAUGUAGCGGUGAAAUGCUUAGAUAUGACAUAGAACACCUAUUGCGAAGGCAGCUUACUAAACGAUCAUUGACGCUGAGGCACGAAAGCGUGGGGAUCAAACAGG
rnacentral:rRNA from 1 species